AUUUAGUACAUUAAUAAUUGGUGCUUGGAAUGGUACAGAGACAAUUAGCAUGGCCCUUCACAAGGAUGCCAUGAAAACCUGUGAAGCUUUCCAUAUUUUU
ensembl:snRNA U6 U6 spliceosomal RNA